rnacentral:rRNA from 1 species
AUGCCCUUCACUACGGAAUAGCCUCUGGAAACGGAGAGUAAUACCGUAUGCGCCCUUCGGGGAAAGAUUUAUCGGUGAAGGAUUAGCCCGCGUCUGAUUAGAUAGUUGGUGGGGUAACGGCCUACCAAGUCGACGAUCAGUAGCUGGUUUGAGAGGAUGAUCAGCAACACUGGGACUGAGACACGGCCCAGACUCCUACGGGAGGCAGCAGUGGGGAAUCUUAGACAAUGGGCGCAAGUGAUCUAGCCAUGCCGCGUGAGUGACGAAGGCCUUAGGGUCGUAAAGCUCUUUCGCCAGGGAUGAUAAUGACAGUACCUGGUAAAGAAACCCCGGCUAACUCCGUGCCAGCAGCCGCGGUAAUACGGAGGGGGUUAGCGUUGUUCGGAAUUACUGGGCGUAAAGCGCACGUAGGCGGAUCGGAAAGUUGGGGGUGAAAUCCCGGGGCUCAACCCCGAACUGCCUCCAAAACUAUCGGUCUAGAGUUCGAGAGAGGUGAGUGGAAUUCCGAGUGUAGAGGUGAAAUUCGUAGAUAUUCGGAGGAACACCAGUGGCGAAGGGGCUCACUGGCUCGAUACUGACGCUGAGGUGCGAAAGUGUGGGGAGCAAACAGGAUUAGAUACCCUGGUAGUCUACACCGUAAACGAUGAAUGCCAGUCGUCGGGUAGCAUGCUAUUCGGUGACACACCUAACGGAUUAAGCAUUCCGCCUGGGGAGUACGGUCGCAAGAUUAAAACUC